GUGGAAAUGCUAAGUCACGGCCAGAAGCAGUAAUUGAGCACCUGGUGGGAAGGCAGGGCCAACCCAGGGAAGCUCAGGUGCAUGCAAUGCACCUGAGUGGCUGGAAGAGGUGGAAUCAGGAUCCACCCCUUCCCAGACCUCAUUUAAGGGCUGGCAGUGGAGGUGAGGAUAUCUCUUGUUGGAGAUUUCUACCUACCAGAGGCCUUCUAAAGCUUGUAGCUCCACUUCACUGACAACUGGGAGUGAAGAUGCUGGGGAUUAGAGUUCAGCUGCAUCUGCUGUCAAGGCACAAGGAGAACUGUUUGAAACCCAGCCAGAUCAGUACUGCUUGCUCUGUGGACAGCUGCCAAUUUUCAUGCAGAGUAUGUUCAACACGUACAUUACCAUCAUUUG
ensembl:lncRNA